rnacentral:rRNA from 1 species
GACGAACGCUGGCGGCGUGCUUAACACAUGCAAGUCGAACGAUGAACCCGGAGCUUGCUCUGGGGGAUUAGUGGCGAACGGGUGAGUAACACGUGAGUAACAUGCCCUGGACUCUGGGAUAAGCGUUGGGAACGACGUCUAAUACCGGAUAGGACCUUGGAUCGCAUGAUCUGGGGUGGAAAGUUUUUUCGGUCUGGGAUGGACUCGGGGCCUAUCAUCUUGUUCUUGAGGUAUUGGCGCGCCAAGGCGUUGACGGGUAGCCGGCCUGAGAGGGUGCCCAGCCACACUGGGACUGACACACGGACCAGACUGCGGCGGGAGGUAGCAGAGGGGAAUAGUGCACAAUCGGCGAAAGCCCGAGGCAGCAACGCGGCGUGCGGUAUGACGGCUCUCUGGUUGUAAACCGAUUUGAGCAGGGAAGAAGGGCUUCGGCUUGACGGUACCUGCAUAAAAAGGACCGGCUAACUACGUG